GACGAACGCUGGUGGCGUGCUUAACACAUGCAAGUCGAACGGGAUUUAGUAAACAGACGCCUCGGUGGAAGAUUACUAAUGAGAGUGGCGAACGGGUGAGUAACGCGUGAGCAACCUGCCUAUGACAGUGGGAUAGCCUCGGGAAACCGGGAUUAAUACCGCAUAAAAUCGUAGAAACACAUGCUUUAACGGUCAAAGAUUUAUCGGUCAUAGAUGGGCUCGCGUCUGAUUAGCUAGUUGGUGAGAUAACAGCCCACCAAGGCGACGAUCAGUAGCCGGUCUGAGAGGAUGAACGGCCACAUUGGAACUGAGACACGGUCCAAACUCCUACGGGAGGCAGCAGUGGGGAAUAUUGCACAAUGGGGGAAACCCUGAUGCAGCGACGCCGCGUGAACGAAGAAGGUAUUCGUAUCGUAAAGUUCUGUCCUAUGGGAAGAUAAUGACAGUACCAUAGAAGAAAGCUCCGGCUAAAUACGUG
rnacentral:rRNA from 1 species